GUGGGGAGCCGGGUUGCCAGAGAAAACACAGGACAUCCAGUGAAGUCAGGUGCCUCCUGACCCAGCAGACCCCCAUGAGCCCAGAUCCCUGAGACCUGGUGGCUGCCAUUAUGACAUUCCCCGACUGCAUCUUAGGACCCAAGUCUGACCCCCUGCAGGAUCUGCAGCUGUGUUACAGGAAAGGGGACCCGAUCCAGACCCCAAGGGAGGGUUCUUGAAUCUCGUGCAAGAAACAACUCGGGAUGCAGUUGCUGUGGUUCACACACCUCUGGCAGCUGGGCUCCUUGGGAUCUCCUGACAUUCUGUGCCCUCUGUGCCCUCCUCCCUCACUGCCAUCGCUGUCUUCCUGAGCCUCCUCCUUCUGAAUUUCUUCAUCACCAAGAAGAGGAAUCGCUGUUAGGUUUGGCUUUUGGGAAAGGGAUGGACCAGGCAGGCAGUAGGGAGGGAGACACAGGCCCUGGCAUGGGCGAUGGG